rnacentral:rRNA from 2 species
GGUUGCGGCCAUAUCUACCAGAAAGCACCGUUUCCCGUCCGAUCAACUGUAGUUAAGCUGGUAAGAGCCUGACCGAGUAG